rnacentral:tRNA from 4 species
GCGGGUGUGGCGGAACUGGCAGACGCGCUAGACUUAGGAUCUAGUGGAUAUAUCCGUGCAGGUUCAAGUCCUGUCACCCGCACCA